rnacentral:rRNA from 1 species
CCUAACACAUGCAAGUCGAACGGUAACAGGAAGAAGCUUGCUUCUUUGCUGACGAGUGGCGGACGGGUGAGUAAUGUCUGGGAAACUGCCUGAUGGAGGGGGAUAACUACUGGAAACGGUAGCUAAUACCGCAUAACGUCGCAAGACCAAAGAGGGGGACCUUCGGGCCUCUUGCCAUCGGAUGUGCCCAGAUGGGAUUAGCUAGUAGGUGGGGUAACGGCUCACCUAGGCGACGAUCCCUAGCUGGUCUGAGAGGAUGACCAGCCACACUGGAACUGAGACACGGUCCAGACUCCUACGGGAGGCAGCAGUGGGGAAUAUUGCACAAUGGGCGCAAGCCUGAUGCAGCCAUGCCGCGUGUAUGAAGAAGGCCUUCGGGUUGUAAAGUACUUUCAGCGGGGAGGAAGGGAGUAAAGUUAAUACCUUUGCUCAUUGACGUUACCCGCAGAAGAAGCACCGGCUAACUCCGUGCCAGCAGCCGCGGUAAUACGGAGGGUGCAAGCGUUAAUCGGAAUUACUGGGCGUAAAGCGCACGCAGGCGGUUUGUUAAGUCAGAUGUGAAAUCCCCGGGCUCAACCUGGGAACUGCAUCUGAUACUGGCAAGCUUGAGUCUCGUAGAGGGGGGUAGAAUUCCAGGUGUAG